UAGGGUUCGAUCCUGGCUCAGGACGAACGCUGGCGGCAUGCCUAACACAUGCAAGUCGAACGAGAAAGUUCCUUCGGGAGCAAUUAAAGUGGCGCACGGGUGAGUAACGCGUAGACAAUCUGCCCUUCAGUCUGGGACAACUUUUCGAAAGGAGAGCUAAUACCGGAUAACAAUGCAUGACACAAGUUGUAUAUUUGAAAGCUUUAUGUGCUGAAGGAGGGGUCUGCGUCCCAUUAGCUAGUUGGUAAGGUAAAGGCUUACCAAGGCAACGAUGGGUAGCGGGUUUGAGAGGACGAUCCGCCACACUGGAACUGAGACACGGUCCAGACUCCUACGGGAGGCAGCAGUGGGGAAUAUUGCACGAUGGAGGAAACUCUGAUGCAGCAAUGUCGCGUGAGUGAAGAAGGCCCUUGGGUCGUAAAGCUCUUUUAUGGGGGAAGAUGAUGACGGUACCCCAAGAAUAAGCACCGGCUAACUAUGUGCCAGCCGCCGCGGUAAUUCA
rnacentral:rRNA from 1 species